AUGGAACAGAGGGCUCAAGAGCGACUUAGUGUAGCGGGCUAAAAAAAGAUGUACUUGGCUGAUCGAUACAGCUUCACACAGUGGUUUCCAAGGGAUGCUGGUUUUGGUUAGGUAUGUUAAAUAAAAAUCGCACCUUUUAUCGAUGACAUGUUGCACUUCCACACACUCCAGUGAGACAACUCCCUGUGUGUAGUACCGUAUAUUUUCUUGGUUCCAGGUGGGAGAAAGGAGUGUUUCGUUUUAAUUGCAUACUGCACUGAGACAUGCAGACACAUAUACACCCUGCCUCCUGAGAUCAGGCAAACGCCUUCACUGUACUCUCUUGGUUAAAAGCAUUUAGACAAUCCUACCCAGACAUGUAUAAUGUUGAUGUAUGUUUCAAUCUGCUUGUAGUUUAUUGCUGAUCUUAUUGAGGGUUUGAAAUGUUUUAAAUAGCUGUUUUUACUGAUAAUUUUAUUGUUUUAUUCUCUUUGUAAACCACUUUUACCAUCAAGUAGCGCAUAGAUUUUAUGAAAUAAAUAUACUAUCCACUCCAAGAAUAAUAUGGAGGAUUUUGCUUAAUUGCACAGAUUUCUCAACCUCCAGUAUCAGGUCUCCAUUUCAGCCCAUUACACAGCUAUGUGCAAGCACAAGACUCCUCAUCGGGCCUUAGAGCUGGAAAUUAACAGAACCAAUGUGAAAUGGCAAGUGUCUAGCCAUCACAGUUGAGAAGAUGAAAACAGGUAAGUUCACAGCUUGAGUCAUAACAUAAUUCAGGAUGUUGCCAGUUGACACACACCCUCCUGUUCCAAUGUUUGGUGUUACCAUAAUGGGAAGAAGGUAGCUUGGGAUCUACUGAUUGAUCUCUAGGCGACUCAAAAAUAGAUUGGUGAGGAUUUUGAGUCCCAGUUCUGGCUUUUCACUCCAGCUGCCAGCGGUGGUCCUUCUGCCCUCCAGCUGUCACCAUGGGGGCUUCUACAGAAUCAUCUUGCCAAGAGAGAAGCAAGCUGUGUACACAUUAAUGCUUGAAAUGCAGCUAGGUCUUUCUUUUUCUCAGAUCAAAGAAGUAUUUCCUAAGGAACAACAUGGAUGGUGGCUAACAUUGUGUGUAUCCCGCUUCAAUGUUGGGAGCCUACUGGAUGCAGAGUAAAUGGGAUUAUGUACACAAUUACAAUUGUAUUUUCUAUGCUGUUAUAACUCUCUCCCCCAUCCCAUCCCACAAUGCCUAUUGUUGCAGUAAUCUUACGCAAACUGCUUUAUGAGGCUUGCAUGAAAAGCAAUAUAUAGAAACUAUAAAUAAAAG